GAACGGGUUAGUAACGCGUGAGAAACCUGCCCAGAAGUGGGGGAUAACACUCCUAACGGGGUGCUAAUACCGCAUGUGGUGCUUGAGUCGCAUGGCUCGAAUACCAAAGGUGGCCUCUGUUUACAAGCUAUCGCUUCUGGAUGGUCUCGCGUCCGAUUAGCUAGUUGGCGGGGUAACGGCCCACCAAGGCGACGAUCGGUAGCUGGUCUGAGAGGAUGGUCAGCCACACUGGGACUGAGAUACGGCCCAGACUCCUACGGGAGGCAGCAGUCGAGAGGCUUCGGCAAUGGGGGAAACCCUGACCGAGCGACGCCGCGUGGGGGAUGAAGGCCCUUGGGUUGUAAACCACUGUCAGAGGGGAUGAAGUUCAUGAGGGCAAUCUCUCAUGAUUGACAUAGCCUCAGAGGAAGCACGGGCUAAGUUCGUGCCAGCAGCCGCGG
rnacentral:rRNA from 1 species